rnacentral:rRNA from 1 species
GCUGAGGCCCCAGGGUGGGACCGCGGCCUAUCAGGUAGUAGGUGGGGUAACGGCCCACCUAGCCUACGACGGGUACGGGCCCUGAGAGGGGGAGCCCGGAGAUGGGCACUGAGACAAGGGUCUAGGCCCUAAGGGGCGCAGCAGGCGCGAAGAUUCCGCAAUGCCCGAAAGGGCGACGGAGUGAACCCGAGUGCCACCCGCUGAGGGUGGCUGUUCCCCUGUGUAAAAAGCAGGGGGCAGGAAGGGGAGGGCAAGGCUGGUGGCAGCCGCCGCGGUAAAACCAGCUCCCCGAGGGGUUCCCACGCAUACUGGGCCUAAAGCGUCCGUAGCCGGCCCUGUAAGUCUGCAGUUAAAUCCGCCUGUAGACAGGCGGGUUGCUGCAGAUACUGCAGGGCUAGGGAGCGGGAGGAGCCGGGGGUAUUCCCGGGGGAGCGGUAAAAUGCGUAGAUCCCGGGAGGACCACCAGUGGCGAAGGCGCCCGGCUUGAACGCGUCCGACGGUGAGGGACGAAAGCUGGGGGAGCAAACCGGAUUAGAUACCCGGGUAGUCCCAGCCGUAAACGAUGCCGGCUAGGUGCUGGCCAAGGUUUCGGCCUUGGCCAGUGUCGAAGCGAAGGCAUUAAGCCGGCCGCCUGAGGAGUACGGCCGCAAGGCUGAAACUUGAAGGAAUUGACGGGGGGGCACCACAAGGGGUGAAUGCCUGCGGCUUAAUUGGACUCAACGCCGGGAAUCUUACCGGGGGCGACAGCAGGAUGAAGGUCAGGCUGAAGACCUUACCAGACGCGCUGAGGGGUGGUGCAUGGCCGUCGCCAGCUCGUGCCGUGAGGUGUCCUGUUAAGUCAGGCGACGAGCGAGACCCCCGCCCCUAGUUGCCAGCGGCCUCCUUCGGGAGGGACCGGGCAAACUAGGGGGACCGCCUCCGAAGAGGAGGAGGAAGGUGGGGGCUACGGCAGGUCAGUAUGCCCCUAAUCCCCCGGGCCGCACGCGGGCUGCAAUGGGCGGGACAGCGGGAUG